CCUACGGGGGGCUGCAGUGGGGAAUUUUCCGCAAUGGGCGAAAGCCUGACGGAGCAAUACCGCGUGAGGGAGGAAGGCUCUUGGGUUGUAAACCUCUUUUCUCAAGGAAGAACAAAAUGACGGUACUUGAGGAAUAAGCAUCGGCUAACUCCGUGCCAGCAGCCGCGGUAAUACGGAGGAUGCAAGCGUUAUCCGGAAUGAUUGGGCGUAAAGCGUCCGCAGGUGGCUGUGUAAGUCUGCUGUUAAAGAGCAAAGCUCAACUUUGUAAGAGCAGUGGAAACUACACGGCUAGAGUGCGUUCGGGGCAGAGGGAAUUCCUGGUGUAGCGGUGAAAUGCGUAGAGAUCAGGAAGAACACCGGUGGCGAAAGCGCUCUGCUAGGCCGCAACUGACACUGAGGGACGAAAGCUAGGGGAGCGAAUGGGAUUAGAUACCCGAGUAGUC
rnacentral:rRNA from 1 species